AGGAUUCUUCUGUAUGACUACAGUCAAGUCAGCAAUCUGCUAACCCUGAAAUAGGACUGGACUGACAUGUAACACCAACCAUGAAGACAAACGAAAGACAAAAAGGACACCUACAUCAAGGACAUUGACUAGGGGGACAAUGGCCAUCCACACAAGCCUGAUUUUGGAGUUGUUCUGCCAGAAACUGACAUCCCCCUGAUUGACCAACAACUGGAUAUGGUCAGGACAGCAAUAAAUCCCCUCAAACGCUCAGAGUGUAAUGGUGUUGAUAUGUAUUUGGAGACAGAGAAAUAUGUCAAGUCCCUGGUGCAUGACGGACAUGAUGUAACACCUUAGGGUUAUAUUUGUAAAAA